rnacentral:lncRNA from 1 species
UAAUUGAAAUCAACCUAGACUUCUGAUGAAAAUGUUUUUCCAGACCUUAAUAUAACAAGUUUCGUUCUUUAAACGUUUUCUUUUAUCACCAAAUAUCAUAAUAAGAAACUCAUAUCAAAUUCUUAAAAUAAUCGCUAUUUUCAUUGGACAGUGAUCAUUGAAUCCAGUAUAAGAAAAAAAUAUACAUUUAUUCAUAAACGUGUGCCUGUUUUCUUUACGUUCUAACCGAUAAUACUAAAGGUUUGAAAACGAACGGAACAUUUUCUCCACGUUAAAAACUUGUUGAUUUACUCCUUUUUCAUUAGAUGAAUACAAAAUAAUUGUUGUAUUUAUUGCAAAA